UACGUAGGGUGCAAGCGUUAAUCGGAAUUACUGGGCGUAAAGCGUGCGCAGGCGGUUAUGCAAGACAGAUGUGAAAUCCCCGGGCUCAACCUGGGAACUGCAUUUGUGACUGCAUCGCUGGAGUGCGGCAGAGGGGGAUGGAAUUCCGCGUGUAGCAGUGAAAUGCGUAGAUAUGCGGAGGAACACCGAUGGCGAAGGCAAUCCCCUGGGCCUGCACUGACGCUCCUGCACGAAAGCGUGGGGAGCAAACAGG
rnacentral:rRNA from 1 species